rnacentral:rRNA from 1 species
CCCGCCGGCGACCGGCGCACGGGUGAGUAACGCGUAUGCAACCUGCCCUCUUCAGGGGGACAACCUUCCGAAAGGGAGGCUAAUCCCGCGUAUAUCGGUUUCGGGCAUCCGAGAUCGAGGAAAGAUUCAUCGGAAGAGGAUGGGCAUGCGGCGCAUUAGGAAGACGGCGGUGUGACGGACCACCGUUCCGACGAUGCGUAGGGGUUCUGAGAGGAAGGCCCCCCACACUGGUACUGAGACACGGACCAGACUCCUACGGGAGGCAGCAG